UAUUCCGAGAGGCGCUGCAGCAGCUAUUCCUAUCUGGGAAGAACUGUCAGGCUCAGAACGACAAGUUGUAAGAAACGGCGCCUGUUCAAC
rnacentral:ncRNA from 1 species